rnacentral:rRNA from 1 species
GCGCGGUGAGGAUAGUGCGGGGGAAAUACUUAUACCCAUUCCGAACAUAAAAGUCAAGCCCCGCACGCCAUCUCAUUCUUAACAGGAAGUUAACGAUAGAGUUGGUUUGCCGC